ACGUCAUAAGGGCUGGCGGACGAAUUGGGCAGCAUGGAGUGCUUGGGCAGCUUCAGCUUGUACAGCGUCUUGCCGUCGUAGCGAUAAGGGCCAUUGUGUCCCUUGAUCCCGAAGAGGCUCUGAAACCACAGAUCAUCUGGGGCUAACUUCCAUCCCUUGUCGGGGUCGUUGCUCUCCGUCACCGUCAACGUGGUGAACUUCUGCCCGUCGAACUUGCUGAUCCCUUCCAGCGUGGUGAUGAAGAACGCAGC
rnacentral:misc_RNA from 1 species